CCUCCUUGAAGCAGAAUGAUUCUUCACCAUCCUCAUGCCCACCCCCAUUCCCUGCCUCUCUUUACACCAUUUGUAAUAACAUUAACCAAAAAAAGAGGGACUAGAACCUGUCUUUUGACUUAAGUCCCAGAACUCUUAGGAAACUAGAAAAUGAGAAUUCAUUCACUGAGGAAAGACCACAAUUCAGAUGGCUGAGCAAUUCACUGGACUUAUUGACUCUGAUAGUUUCUCACUUUUUCUUGGCCUAAAUACAUUCUGUGCUCUUAAAAAACAGGAUCCCUAGAGAAAGAAGAGGUUAUAGGGACAAAUGGAGACUAACUCUGAGCUAUUCAAGUUCAGUGCCUGUACUGUGUUGAAUAUACAGUUCGAAAGGUAAUUGGGAGAAGGACACCACAUCGCCCUGUAGCUCUGCAAGCCCAGCACAAGUCUAAUGAGUGAUCAGAGGCUUAAGCCCAGAUUGCUUAAGAAUGCCUGUAGGGGCAUAGUCACCAAAGUUCGACUCUCCGACAGAACAGCUUGCUGCGGCUCUAAUGUGAAAACACUCCAGUUAUAACAAGGGAUUGUUCCAUUUGUUGAAAAAUGUGCUCCGAAUGGCAAAAGAUGACACUCUCUGGAGGUCCUUAAGAUCCAUGAAGGUAAAUAUAAAUCUCUUGAGGGGUAGAAAUCGUUGUUAAACUUGGCUAAAUAGAACAAAGUUUACCUGUAGCGUAUACCUCUGAACUUGUC
rnacentral:lncRNA from 1 species